UGGGGAAUUGUGGACAAUGGGCGCAAGCCUGAUCCAGCAUUGCCGCGUGGAGGAUGAAGGCCUUCGUGUUGUAAACUGCUUUUGUACGGAGCGAAAAGGUCUGCUCUAAUACGGUGGGCUUAUGACGUUACCGUAAGAAUAAGCACCGGCUAACUACGUGCCAGCAGCUGCGGUAAUACGUAGGGUGCGAGCGUUAAUCGGAAGUACUGGGCGUAAAGCGUGCGCAGGCGGUUAUAUAAGACAGAGGUGAAAUCCCCGGGCUCAACCUGGGACCUGCAUUUGUGACUGUAUAGCUAGAGUACGGUAGAGGGGGGUGGAAUUCCGCGUGUAGCAGUGAAAUGCGUAGAUAUGCGGAGGAACACCGAUGGCGAAGGCAAUCCCCUGGACCUGUACUGACGCUCAUGCACGAAAGCGUGGGGAGCAAACA
rnacentral:rRNA from 1 species